AGAGUUUGAUCCUGGCUCAGGAUGAACGCUGGCGGUCUGCUUAACACAUGCAAGUCGAACGGAACUUUUCGGAGUUCAGUGGCGGACGGGUGAGUAACGCGUGAGAAUCUGCCUUCUGGUCGGGGACAACCACUGGAAACGGUGGCUAAUACCGGAUGAGCCUACGGGUAAAAGAUUUAUUGCCAGAAGAGGAGCUCGCGUCUGAUUAGCUAGUUGGUAGGGUAAUGGCCUACCAAGGCGACGAUCAGUAGCUGGUCUGAGAGGAUGAUCAGCCACAUUGGGACUGAGACACGGCCCAAACUCCUACGGGAGGCAGCAGUGGGGAAUAUUGGACAAUGGGCGCAAGCCUGAUCCAGCCAUGCCGCGUGAGUGAUGAAGGCCUUAGGGUUGUAAAGCUCUUUCGUCCGGGACGAUAAUGACGGUACCGGAAGAAGAAGCCCCGGCUAACUUCGUGCCAGCAGCCGCGGUAAUACGAAGGGGGCUAGCGUUGUUCGGAAUCACUGGGCAAAGGGCGCGUAGGCGGCCUGAUAAGUCGGGGGUGAAAGCCUGUGGCUCAACCACAGAAUUGCCUUCGAUACUGUCGGGCUUGAGACCGGAAGAGGUAAGUGGAACUGCGAGUGUAGAGGUGAAAUUCGUAGAUAUUCGCAAGAACACCAGUGGCGAAGGCGGCUUACUGGUCCGGUUCUGACGCUGAGGCGCGAAAGCGUGGGGAGCAAACAGGAUUAGAUACCCUAGUAGUCC
rnacentral:rRNA from 1 species